UACGUAGGUGGCAAGCGUUGUCCGGAUUUACUGGGUGUAAAGGGCGUGUAGGCGGGACUGCAAGUCAGGCGUGAAAACCAGAGGCUCAACCUCUGGCCUGCGUUUGAAACUGCGGUUCUUGAGUACUGGAGAGGUUGACGGAAUUCCUUGUGUAGCGGUGAAAUGCGUAGAUAUAAGGAGGAACACCAGUGGCGAAGGCGGUCAACUGGACAGCAACUGACGCUGAGGCGCGAAAGCGUGGGGAGCAA
rnacentral:rRNA from 1 species